UCAUGCUGCAUGUCAUGCCAAAAACGGGGUUCACACGAUCAUUCUUUCUAAUCAUGCAUCCGCUUCAUGCAGUUGUUUCAUGCUGCCUGUCAUGCAGCAUGAUCGUGUGAACCGGCCUUUAAGCAUCCAGGGGCCAGAUCCACGAAACGGUUGCUACUUUUAACAAACUGCGAUCAGCGCCCAUUAUCAACCUCGGACCGCCAUAUGGUAUCCACGAACGCAUAAGAGGUUCGUGUUGCCAUAGUAGCAAGGUUGGUAAGAAGUUACAACCUCCUGAGGUGAUGUAGGUUAACUCCACCUCGCCUGAAAACUCUUAUAUAAAUAUUUAUGUGCACAAAAUAACCUUUUUUUUAAUUGUUUACAAGCUUUACCAGCAAGGAAGCAUGGUUUUGUGAUGCAUAAAGUGAAAUCUUGCAUGGAACACUGAAAACAAAUGAAGAGGCUGAUUUGUCCCACACGUGCGCACUCCCCAUUCCCCCGCCCACCAACAAGUGUGUACUGUGAUUACGUAUUGUUUUCGUCGUUUCUUGUGCAUAUAUUGGAUAUUUUCUUAACAUACUACCACGUUCGUGCCUUGAGGCAAGAAAGGCGGUUUCAGGAUCGCCUUGACCCCUUGGCAUUGAGUGAUAAUGAGCUCAUGACCAAAUAUCGCUUCCCUCGGCUGACCUACUAAUCCUCUUGUUUGAGAUGCAGCCUCAGCUGGAGAGAAGGACAAGGCAUAGCCAGGUAUUACCAACUCACACCCAGGUUUUGCUGGCCCAGAGACUGUUUGCCAGUGGGCCCUUCCAAAACGUCAUUGGAGACACUGCAGGACCUAUUCAAGCAAGUGUCAGCAGGGUCUUCAAGUGUGUGUGUGCACCGUGUUGAGUGUUAAGUCAGUGCAGGAAAUCAAGAUGCCUCCGACACACCUUGAUCAAAGGAGAACUGCACACCAGUUCUUCAGGAUUAAAAAUUUCUUAAGGGUUAUUGGGGCCAUUGAUGGCACCCACAUUGCCAUCAAGGCCCGAAGAGUGGACGAGGCCCUCUACUUUAACUGGAAAAGGUAUCACUCCCUCUGAACAUCCAACUUGUUUGUGAUGCGAAUGGAGUGAUCCUCAGCUACUGCUUCAGAUUCCCAGGACCUAUGCAAGCAAGUGUCAGCAGGGUCUUCAAGUGUGUGUGUGCACCGUGUUGAGUGAUAAAUAAGUCAGUGCAGGAAAUCAAGAUGCCUCCAACACACCUUGAUCAAAGGAGAACUGCACACCAGUUCUUCAGGAUUAAAAAUUUCCUAAGGGUUAUUGGGACCAUUGAUGGCAGCCACAUUGCCAUGAAGGGCCAAAGUGUGGAUGAGGCCCUCUACUUGAACUGGAAAAGGUAUCACUCCCUCUGAACAUCCAACUUGUUUGUGAUGCAAGUGGAGUGAUCCUCAGCUACUGCUCCAGAUUGCCAGGUGCCUGCACUCUUGUGGAGGUGGCUUGCAGUACAGACCCAUCAAGUGUGUCAAAAUAAUUAAUGCUUGCCUGCUCCUACACAACUGCUGCAUCAAGUUCCUGAUGACCUACCACCUCUUGAGGAUGAAGCAGUGCCCCAUGCUGAUACCAACCCUGCCGUGCUGUAGAGGGAUCAGUGUGCUUCAGGCAGAAUUGUGUGGCAAGAAAUCAUACAAAACUUCUUCCAGCAAUGCAGUAAGGAAGUGAGAUUGUCAAAGUGCCUGGGACAUGUUUUGUACAGCCAGCUGCACCAUCACCAGCUCGUCCAUGCUCGGACUAAUCUGCUGUUGGGUUUCCUGUGCUUGAGAGAGAACUUCUGAAUGACACAGCAUUGUCAAAUCCAGAGGCCCCUGCAGACCCAGCAACAUCAGCAGAAGAGGGUUGGAUGACUUCAACACCACUGCUGGUGGAAGGCUGUGGUCCUAGAGGCCCUGACACUUCUGGAAAAAAAAAAAAAAAAAAACUGCUGUCAUUACUGCAGGUAGAGAAUAAGCUGGUAUUCUUUGAGUGAUGUUUUUAUUGACAAAUUUUUCUUUUAAUUAGCAGUCAACCUAGUCAUGUCUGUGUUUAUCACAUGGUUUUGCUGAGUUGAUGAGCAAAUGUGCAGAUAUCUACAUUCAUGAAGAUGAGUGUUGGACAUGAUGCUGCCAGCCCCAUGGAAGAUGAUGCUGUAACACAAUUAUUGUUACAUUACAGUACUGCACUUAAAAACAGCAUUAAUUUACAAAAUGUAAUUUGCCCUUUGUUAGUUUACUUAUGCAGUGUGGCACCAUCACUUUCAGGGUAUGGCAGUCCUGCAACUGUUGUGUGAGACAACAUCCACAGCAUGACCAACUCCACAGCAGUGUGUGUUGUCUCAUCUGGAGGCCCCCACCUGCAUGGAUAUGAAUGUUGCAAUUAUCACCCACUUAGAAGUUCACAUGUAAAGCCAAAUCAACUUGGUGUAAAUCAUGAAUGCAUUAGAGCACAAUAAUGUUAUCUAGCACUGCAGUGGUCACUGUCUCAGACCUGACUGCCAGAGGUACUGUACAUACUCCUAUUUAUAAUCCAUUGCUUAGUUGGUUCUUGGUUAUGUUUAUUGACUAUAUGGGUAAAUUUUGUAACAGCACCAAUAAUGAAAUACAACAUAUACACAAGAGCAAA